UACGUAGGGCGCAAGCGUUAUCCGGAAUUAUUGGGCGUAAAGAGCUCGUAGGUGGCUGUCGCGUCUGCCGUGAAGCCGACAGGCUUAACCUGCGGUCGCGGUGGAUACGGGCCGCUAGAGGUAGGUAGGGGCAAGUGGAAUUCCUGGUGUAGCGGUGGAAUGCGCAGAUAUCAGGAGGAACACCAAUAGCGAAGGCAGCUUGCUGGGACGGUACUGACGCUAAGGCGCGAAAGCGUGGGGAGCGAACGGG
rnacentral:rRNA from 1 species